GGCAAGUCAGGAGAUCUUCAGUGGGUAGUCAGUCUGUGGGUCGCCUCCUUCCUGUAAGCAGCUCAGUUUAUGAACUUGCCCACACCAAGCUCAAGUCCUGGGUGCUCCAUCCAGCCCUUCUCUGCUCCAGAUUCCCAGGGUAGACUGUGUGGCCCCAAGGAUCCUGGAUUCACCUGUGAGAGGACCAGCCAGCAGCCAAGACCAUCAGUCCUGCUCCUGGUCCCCGUUUCAGACUCCUAGAAGAUAGAAUCUGAUCCCUUCAGCUUAAGUCUGCCUUCUACUCAUCAGCUCUGAGUGAUGAGAAAACACCUUCAUCAGUCAGAACUCAACUCCUUUUCCAAAAGGAGGUCACCCCAUUUCUUCCUCCACAUUUCAGAACACUUGGCUGAAGGUGUCACACUGAUGAAGAAUCUAUUCACAAAUGCAGUAGACUCAACAGAUGUGGGUUCGGUCUCUGGGUCAGGAAGAUCCCCUGGAGUAGCAAACAACAACCCACACCAGUAUUCUUGCCUGGAAAAUUCCAUGGACAAAGAAGCCUGGUGGGCCAGAAUCCAUGCUGUCACAAAGAGUCAGACGUAGCUGAGCACACAGAACAUGAUUUUUAUUGGUUACUUUUGCUCGAAAUAUCUUUUUUUAAAAAUCUUAUCACUCUCAGUCUGUGUGUGUCGUUAAAGCUAAAAUGAGUCUCUUAACAUAUUGUUAAAUCUUUAUUUUUAAAUCCAUUCAGCCAUCCUGUGUCUUUCAGUCGAAGAAUCUAGUUCAUUUAU
ensembl:lncRNA